rnacentral:rRNA from 1 species
GACGUAGGGGCCGAGCGUUGUCCGGAGUUACUGGGCGUAAAGGGCGCGCAGGCGGUUCUCCGCAUCUCUGGUGAAAGCCCCGAGCUUAACUCGGGAGGGUCCAGGGAGAUGGGGGGGACUUGAGGCAGGGCGAGGGCGGUGGAAUUCCGGGUGUAGUGGUGAAAUGCGUAGAGCUCCGGAGGAACACCAGUGGCGAAGGCGGCCGCCUGGACCUG